CAGAUCCCUGGUUCGAAUACACCCUUUGUAAACACAUUCUACCGUUAAAAAACACGCUUCAUAGAUAGAUAUUGCAGCUGAAAAAAGCAUGCGACUAGUUAGAAUCCACCCGUUGAAAAUAAAACAUGCUACCGUUAAUGAACACGCUCCAUAGAUAGAUAUUACAGCUGAAAAAAGCAUGCUACCGUUAACAAAAACACGCUCCUAUUCCUUAACCCAUUAUAUAUAUGGCCAUUGAUUUAGAAGAAUACCUCAUCCGCAAUGUUCAGUAUUUCCCUGCGUAUAUUGAUUCUGAAUGUACUAGCUAUGCGGGCUCCUCUGGUUAUUGCUGCUUCAAGGCCAUAGUGAGCAUAGAGAUGAAAGAUUUUAGGGAACUGAAUUUAUAGAUUCUUGGUAUAGGGAUCAAUGCCCUUUCCUAUAGGGGUGAAUUUGCCAUUUGGUGUGCCCUAUCUGCGGAGGAAUGUUGUCUGAGGGAGUGAUGCCUCCAAUGCCUCAGAGGUCAUCCGCAUCACCAAUCAUGUGCGGAGGAAUGUUGACUUAUUUCGGAAAGGAGAACUAGUACAUAUAUUAGCUUAUUAUGGUAGCCGUGGACCAGCAAAAAUUGCAGAGGUAGAAGAAUGCUCAGCCAAUAUAAGGGAGGGCAGAAACCAUAUUACUGAAGCUUAAAUCUCUGAAAAUGGAAGCAUGUUGCAUGCAUUGUUGGAGAUGGUGUAGCUCCAGGAAGACAACAAUGUUGUGGAUAAUAUAAAGCAGGCAUUUAGAAAAUGGUUACUUAUGCUAAAAGUGGAGUGAAUUUUAAAAUAAAUUAAAAUUUGUUGUGAACUUGAAUUUAUAUAUAUUUAAUAGUAAUGUUAAUAUACAAAA